GGAAUUGAUUCCAACGUAGGACCUGCUGAAUAUAUUGGCAGGGUCAAUGUUCUGUUAGAUGCUUGGGGCUUUGGUCACCAUGCAGGAUGUGGAGACAGCCCAGGAGAUGGUGAAAGUUUACACCGACAGCCUGUCUGCAUCAAUGACUCUGUUCUGAACAUGAGCCUGCUUCCAAACCUCCUGGUGGACUCAACAGACCGGUAAGAUGCUGUGGCUUGACUGACUGAUCCCUAUUAGGGCCUCAACCGUGCAUCUCUAGCGU
rnacentral:lncRNA from 1 species